GUGAGGAAUAUUGGUCAAUGGGCGGGAGCCUGAACCAGCCAAGUCGCGUGAAGGAAGAAGGAUCUAUGGUUCGUAAACUUCUUUUGCAGGGGAAUAAAGUGCAGGACGUGUCCUGUUUUGUAUGUACCCUGAGAAUAAGGAUCGGCUAACUCCGUGCCAGCAGCCGCGGUAAUACGGAGGAUCCGAGCGUUAUCCGGCUUUAUUGGGUUUAAAGGGUGCGUAGGUGGUUUGAUAAGUCAGCGGUGAAAGUUUGCAGCUUAACUGUAAAAAUGCCGUUGAAACUGUCGGACUUGAGUGUAAAUGAGGUAGGCGGAAUGCGUGGUGUAGCGGUGAAAUGCAUAGAUAUCACGCAGAACUCCGAUUGCGAAGGCAGCUUACUAAGCUACAACUGACACUGAAGCACGAAAGCGUGGGGAUCAAACAGGAUUAGAAACCCGGGUAGUCC
rnacentral:rRNA from 1 species